rnacentral:lncRNA from 1 species
CAUCACUGUUGUUUUAAUAAUUCUAAAGGCUUUGAUACAAUUAAAAUGAAAUAAAUACUAAUCAUUUAUUUUUUAAAAAUACUAUGCAACAGAAUAACUUAAAGGAAUGAACAUUUCACAAUUGAGACUUUAAAGCAAAAUCCUUUUAAACCACAUUGUCACCUGUGGGUCUAAUUAGCUAUCUCAGAGUCACCAUGUUACCAAAUAAAUUGGACUUUUGGGUAGUAAUCAAGCUGAAAACUAAUUUUGAAAAAAUUAUGGAACAAUUCUAUUUCUUGUGCAGUUAUACUAAUCUCUACAUCUGGUCGUGUUCUAUCACUUAACAAUAUAUUUUGACAAUUUUAUAGACAAAAAAAGCAAUACAUAUAUCAGUGACAAUAGUGUAAGUUUACAUAAGACAACUGUUUAAUGUCCAACACAGUCUAACCUUGUCUCAUUAACUUUAUCUCAUAGCGUAAUUCAGAAAAUAUUUAAGGCAAUGUCUCCUAAAGUGCAUUGGCAUAUAUAUUCUAAGUAUUACCACAGUGUUAUUUCAUGAAAAGUCAUAUAAAUGAAAGUAUAUCCACUCAACAAAAUUAUAGUACAUUUAUAAAAUAGCAUUGCAGUAUAUUUUGAGAACAUUCCAUUUUUACUAAAGGUGUUCAUUUACAUAUUUUCUCUAUAGACCAAGAUAGUGACCAUUGGCGAUUCUAUCAAGGUGUAGAAUUAGAUAAGUGUAAUGCUCAUCUUUUCUGUGAAUUUACAGAAUAAAUAAGGUGAU